rnacentral:rRNA from 1 species
UGGGGAAUAUUGCACAAUGGGGGAAACCCUGAUGCAGCAACGCCGCGUGCGGGAUGAAGGCCUUCGGUUGUAACCGCUUCAGUAGGGAAGAUAUAAGACGGUACCUACAGAAGAAGCCCCGGCUAACUACGUGCC